rnacentral:rRNA from 1 species
UACGUAGGGGGCAAGCGUUGUCCGGAUUUAUUGGGCGUAAAGAGCGUGUAGGCGGCCCGGUAAGUCCGCUGUGAAAGUCGAGGGCUCAACCCUCGAAUGCCGGCGGAUACUGUCGGGCUAGAGUCCGGAAGAGGCGAGUGGAAUUCCUGGUGUAGCGGUGAAAUGCGCAGAUAUCAGGAGGAACACCUACGGCGAAGGCAGCUCGCUGGGACGGUACUGACGCUGAGACGCGAAAGCGUGGGGAGCAAACAGG